AGAGCAUAAACGACCGAGCAGCAGUGAAUUUCGGAUUAUUUGAAAUUUAUUAGGAUUUGUUUUUUCACCUCUUACGUACUCUAAUUAAUAUAGAUUGGAUUUCCAUCAAUUUGUAGAUUUUGAUAUUAAUUGGGCUGGGAGGAGGAUUAUUAUUAAUAAAAGCAGAAAUCAAAUAUAAUAUUGUAAGACUGCCACGUAUGACAGUUUCGUUCUUAUCCAUACGAUUCGUCAGCAAUUCAUGUUGUUGUGUUUUCAAUUUUAUUUCCUCUGCUUAUUACGAAUAUCUUCCCCAUAUAUGUCCACAGAAUUUGAUUCAACCAAGAAGAAGCUCGAGUGUUUCGACUGCAACAGCAUGCUUGAUAAAUGGUAAGAGUUUCUACAGAUAGGAAACACUACCAAGAGGAUUGAGUACCUUUUGCAUCAAACUGAGAUGGAGAACACUACAGAACACGUAUUGGAGAUAAUGCAUCUUUGGACAAGCGAAUGUCAUAGGCUUAUCUGACACUAGUAAGCAAGUUUUCUGUAUCAAAGAAGGGUUGCAGCCUUGGGGAAGAAGUCUUGAUGUUUAAAUUUUGAUGUGAUUUUUAGUGUAUUUUGUUGAAUGAUAUAUUUUAGAAUACAAUAUAAAGUAUGGUAAAGAAUGUAGAGGUGCCAACUAUUGGCACCUUAUUUUUUAUAUCCAGCCUCAUAUAUUUGCCACUGGUACCAGUAGGAUUCCAAAGACACCAAUAUAUUAGAUGUUUGUUGUGGCACUGAUUUUGAUGCAAGUUAGUUUUGGUUGAA